UUGUAACACUAGUUCCCAUAUAAUCACUGAAGUUAAGCAACAUCAAGCCUGGUCAGUAACUAGAUGGGUGACCACUUUUGAAUACCUAGUGUUGUAAG